rnacentral:rRNA from 1 species
GAUGAACGCUGGCGGCGUGCCCAAUACAUGCAAGUCGAGCGAAUGGAUUAAGAGCUUGCUCUUAUGAAGUUAGCGGCGGACGGGUGAGUAACACGUGGGUAACCUGCCCAUAAGACUGGGAUAACUCCGGGAAACCGGGGCUAAUACCGGAUAACAUUUUGAACCGCAUGGUUCGAAAUUGAAAGGCGGCUUCGGCUGUCACUUAUGGAUGGACCCGCGUCGCAUUAGCUAGUUGGUGAGGUAACGGCUCACCAAGGCAACGAUGCGUAGCCGGGCUGGGAGGGUGAUCGGCCACCCUGGGACUGGGACACGGCCCAGACUCCUACGGGAGGCAGCAGUAGGGAAUCUUCCGCAAUGGACGAAAGUCUGACGGAGCAACGCCGCGUGAGUGAUGAAGGCUUUCGGGUCGUAAAACUCUGUUGUUAGGGAAGAACAAGUGCUAGUUGAAUAAGCUGGCACCUUGACGGUACCUAACCAGAAAGCCACGGCUAACUACGUGCCAGCCGCCGCGGUAA